CUCGCCCCCACGCUCUAAUUACUAGGUAAUGACUUACUAAGUCACUCAGUCUCACUCGCCCCCAACACUCUAAUUACUAGGUAAUGACUUACUAAGACACACAGCCUCACUCGCCCCCACGCUCUAAUUACUAGGUAAUGACUUACUAAGUCACUCAGUCUCACUCGCCCCCACGCUCUAAUUACUAGGUAAUGACUUACUAAGUCACUCAGCCUCACUCACCCCCACACUCUAAUUACUAGGUAAUGACUUACUAAGACACUCAGUCUCACUCGCCCCCAACACUCUAAUUACUAGGUAAUGACUUACUAAGUCACUCAGCCUCACUCACCCCCACGCUCUAAUUACUAGGUAAUGACUUACUAAGACACUCAGUCUCACUCGCACCCACACUCUAAUUACUAGGUAAUUACUUACUAAGACACUCAGCCUCACUCGCACCCACACACUAAUUACUAGGUAAUGACUUACUAAGUCACUCAGUCUCACUCGCCCCCAACACUCUAAUUACUAGGUAAUGACUUACUAAGGCACUCAGUCUCACUCACCCCCACGCUCUAAUUACUAGGUAAUGACUUACUAAGACACUCAGCCUCACUCACACCCAUACUCUAAUUACUAGGUAAUGACUUACUAAGACAUUCAGUCUCACUCGUUCCCACGCUCUAAUUACUAGGUAAUGACUUACUAAGACACUCAGCCUCACUCACCCCCACGCUCUAAUUACUAGGUAAUGACUUACUAAGACACUCAGCCUCACUCACACCCACACUCUAAUUACUAGGUAAUGACUUACUAAGACACUCAGCCUCACUCACCCCCACGCUCUAAUUACUAGGUAAUGACUUACUAAGACACACAGUCUCACUCACACCCACACUCUAAUUACUAGGUAAUGACUUACUAAGUCACUCAGCCUCACUCGCCCCCACGCUCUAAUAACUAGGUAAUGACUUACUAAGACACGCAGCCUCACUCGCCCCCACGCUCUAAUUACUAGGUAAUGACUUACUAAGUCACUCAGCCUCACUCACACCCACACUCUAAUUACUAGGUAAUGACUUACUAAGACACUCAGCCUCACUCACACCCACACUCUAAUUACUAGGUAAUGACUUACUAAGACACUCAGUCUCACUCACCCCCAACACUCUAAUUACUGGGUAGUGACUUACUAAGACACUCAGCCUCACUCACCCCCACACUCUAAUUACUAGGUAAUGACUUACUAAGACACACAGUCUCACUCGCCCCAACACUCUAAUUACUAGGUAAUGACUUACUAAGACACUCAGCCUCACUCGCCCCCACGCUAAUUACUAGGUAAUGACUUACUAAGACACUCAGCCUCACUCACACCCACACUCUAAUUACUAGGUAAUGACUUACUAAGACACUCAGCCUCACUCACACCCACACGCUAAUUACUAGGUAAUGACUUACUAAGACACUCAGCCUCACUCACCCACACUCUAAUAACUAGGUAAUGACUUACUAAGACACUCAGCCUCACGCACCCACACUCUAAUUACUAGGUAAUGACUUACUAAGACACUCAGUCUCACUCACACCCACACGCUAAUUACUAGGUAAUGACUUACUAAGUCACUCAGUCUCACUCACACCCACACUCUAAUUACUAGGUAAUGACUUACUAAGACACUCAGUCUCACUCGCCCCCACACUCUAUUACUAGGUAAUGACUUACUAAGACACUCAGCCUCACUCACACCCACACUCUAAUUACUAGGUAAUGACUUACUAAGACACUCAGUCUCACUCGCACCCACACUCUAAUUACUAGGUAAUGACUUACUAAGACACUCAACCUCACUCACACCCACACUCUAAUUACUAGGUAAUGACUUACUAAGUCACUCAGCCUCACUCUCCCCCACACUCUAAUUACUAGGUAAUGACUUACUAAGUCACUCAGCCUCACUCACCCACACUCUAAUUACUAGGUAAUGACUUACUAAGACACUCAGUGUCACUCACACCCACACUCUAAUUACUAGGUAAUGACUUACUAAGACACUCAGUCUCACUCGCCCCCACGCUCUAAUUACUAGGUAAUGACUUACUAAGACACUCAGUCUCACUCGCCCCCAACACUCUAAUUACUAGGUAAUGACUUACUAAGACACUCAGCCUCACUCACCCCCACAAUCUAAUUACUAGGUAAUGACUUACUAAGACACUCAGCCUCACUCACCCACACUCUAAUUACUAGGUAAUGACUUACUAAGACACUCAGUGUCACUCACACCCACACUCUAAUUACUAGGUAAUGACUUACUAAGACACUCAGUCUCACUCACACCCACACUCUAAUUACUAGGUAAUGACUUACUAAGACACUCAGCCUCACUCGCCCCCACACUCUAAUUACUAGGUAAUGACUUACUAAGACACUCAGCCUCACUCGCCCCAACACUCUAAUUACUAGGUAAUGACUUACUAAGACACUCAGCCUCACUCGCCCCCACACUCUAAUUACUAGGUAAUGACUUACUAAGACACUCAGCCUCACUCGCCCCAACACUCUAAUUACUAGGUAAUGACUUACUAAGACACUCAGCCUCACUCGCCCCAACACUCUAAUUACU